ACAAGUGAAUAAGAGCUUAUGGUGGAUACCUUGGUAUUCAGAAGCGAUGAAGGGCGUGACUACCAGCGAAAUUCUUCGGGGAGUUGGAAGUAAAUAGUGAUCCGGAGGUUCCCGAAUGAGGCAACUUUUUAUACUAUUUGCUGAAUAUAUAGGCAAAAAAGAGCAAACCUAGUGAAUUGAAACAUCUUAGUAACUAGAGGAAAAGAAAGCAAAAGCGAUUCUCUGAGUAGCGGCGAGCGAAAAGGGACUAGCCUAAACCAUUAAGUUCUUACUUUGUGGGGUUGUUGGGACAAUGUCAUAAGAUUAGUUGAAGUUAGAUGAAUCUAGUUGGAAUACUAAACCGUAGAAAGUGAAAGUCUUGUAAUUGAAAACUAAAACUACUUUAAUUGUAUCCCGAGUAAUAUGGGACACGUGAAAUCCCGUAUGAAUCAGCGAGGACCACCUCGUAAGGCUAAAUAUUCCUGGAUAACCGAUAGCGAAAUAGUACCGUGAGGGAAAGGUGAAAAGAACCCCGGAAGGGGAGUGAAAUAGAACAUGAAACCAUAAGCUUACAAGCAGUGGAAGGACGACUUAACGUCUGACCUCGUGCCUGUUGAAGAAUGAGCCGGCGACUUGUAAACAGUGGCAGGUUAAGGCAGAGAAUGCUGGAGCCAUAGUGAAAGCGAGCUUGAAUAGAGCGUUAGUCACUGCUUACAGACCCGAACCCGGAUGAUCUAGCCAUGGCCAGGGUGAAGCUUAGGUAACACUGAGUGGAGGUCCGAACCGACUGAUGUUGAAAAAUCAGCGGAUGAGUUGUGGUUAGGGGUGAAAUACCAAUCGAAUUCGGAGCUAGCUGGUUCUCCCCGAAAUGCGUUGAGGCGCAGCGGUUAAUGUUUAAACUUAGGGGUAAAGCACUGUUUCGGUGCGGGCUGCGAGAGCGGUACCAAAUCAAGGCAAACUCUGAAUACUAAGUUAUAAGUUAACCAGUGAGACAGUGGGGGAUAAGCUUCAUUGUCAAAAGGGAAACAGCCCAGACCACCAGUUAAGGCCCCUAAAUAGUUGCUAAGUGUUAAAGGAAGUGGGAAUGCAGAGACAACCAGGAGGUUUGCUUAGAAGCAGCAAUCCUUUAAAGAGUGCGUAAUAGCUCACUGGUCUAGUGAUCCUGCGCCGAAAAUGAAUGGGACUAAGUAACUUGCCGAAGCUGUGGGAUGUUUAACAUCGGUAGGGGAGCGUUCUGUUACAGUUUGAAGCAUUAACGAAAGUGGGUGUGGACUAAACAGAAGUGAGAAUGUCGGCUUGAGUAGCGAAAACAUUGGUGAGAAUCCAAUGCCCCGAAAACCUAAGGAUUCCUCUGGAAGGUUCGUCCGCGGAGGGUGAGUCAGGACCUAAGGCGAGGCCGAAAGGCGUAGUCGAUGGAUAACAGGUUAAUAUUCCUGUACUAUUUAUUGUUGAUACCGAAGGACGGAGAAGGCUAAGCUAUCCGGAUGUUGGUUACCGGUUUAAUCGUUUAAGGCGUAGAGAAGUGGAGAAAACACUUUGAGUUAAGGCGAGAGUACAAAACACUACGGUGUUGAAGUAGCUGAUGUCACACUUCCAAGAAAAGUUCGAAAUAUCACAAACAAUAAAUACCUGUACCUUAAACUGACACAGGUGGGUGUGGUGAAUAACCUCAGGCGCUCGAGAGAACGGUCGUGAAGGAACUAGGCAAAUUAACCCCGUACGUUCGCAAGAAGGGGGCCCUUCGGGGCGCAGAGAUACCAGGCCCCUGCGACUGUUUAUUAAAAACACAGCACUGUGCAAACACGAAAGUGGACGUAUACGGUGUGACGCCUGCCCGGUGCCGGAAGGUUAAUUGAUGGGGUUAGCGCUUGCGCGAAGCUCUUGAUCGAAGCCCCGGUAAACGGCGGCCGUAACUAUAACGGUCCUAAGGUAGCGAAAUUCCUUGUCGGGUAAGUUCCGACCUGCACGAAUGGCGUAACGAUGGGGGCGCUGUCUCUACCCGAGACUCAGUGAAAUUGAAAUCGCCGUGAAGAUGCGGUGUAUCCGCGGCUAGACGGAAAGACCCCGUGAACCUUUACUAUAGCUUCACAGUGAACUUUGAGCAUGUUUGUGUAGGAUAGCUGGGAGGCUUUGAAAGUGCUCUUGUGGGAGUACUGGAGCCAUCAGUGAGAUACCACUCUGGGAAAGCUAGAAUUCUAACCUUUCACCGUUAUCCGGUAGAGGGACAGUUUCAGGUGGGCAGUUUGACUGGGGCGGUCGCCUCCUAAAAGGUAACGGAGGCGCGCAAAGGUUCCCUCAGACUGGUCGGAAAUCAGUUUUAGAGUGUAAAGGCAUAAGGGAGCUUGACUGCAAGACCUACAAGUCGAGCAGAGACGAAAGUCGGCCUUAGUGAUCCGACGGUUCCGAGUGGAAGGGCCGUCGCUCAACGGAUAAAAGGUACUCCGGGGAUAACAGGCUGAUCUCCCCCAAGAGUUCACAUCGACGGGGAGGUUUGGCACCUCGAUGUCGGCUCAUCACAUCCUGGGGCUGAAGCAGGUCCCAAGGGUUUGGCUGUUCGCCAUUUAAAGUGGUACGCGAGCUGGGUUUAGAACGUCGUGAGACAGUUCGGUCCCUAUCUGCCGUGGGCGUUGGAGAUUUGAAAAGAUGUCUCCUUAGUACGAGAGGACCGGAGUGGACGAACCGCUGGUGUUCGGGUUGUCGUGCCAACGGCAUUGCCCGGUAGCUAUGUUCGGAUAGGAUAACCGCUGAAAGCAUCUAAGCGGGAAGCCCACCUCAAGAUGAGUACUCUCACUGUUUUAAACAGUUAAGGUCACGGCAAGACGAGCCGUUGAUAGGCAUUAAGUAUAAGUGUAGUAAUACAUUAAGCUGAGAUGUACUAACAGACCGAGGACUUGUUUGU
rnacentral:rRNA from 1 species